rnacentral:lncRNA from 9 species
GAGAACUUCAGGAUGAAACAGACACUCUUCGGAAAAAAAAACGGAGAACUUCAGGAUGAAACAGACACUCUUCGGAAAAAAAAACGGAGAACUUCAGGAUGAAACAGACACUCUUCGGAAAAAAAACGGUAAAUUUUCUGAUAUCCCAUUGCUCUUGAGCCCCUCCGAAGAGACUGGUUCAGCCUUUCAUCUUGUGUGCCGUUUCAUCUAUUUCGCUUCUGUCGGCAUGCCUUUCUCUUGCACGUCCUGUCUACGGGCUCCACCUCAAUGUUUUGCGUUGGACGUGUCCCACGUUCCUUCUGUCCAUUUCUGUUUGCCUACCUCCUCUGCUCUGCCAUUCCUUCUCUUUGCAAUGCAUGCCAUGCCCUCCCGGUAAGGACUGGCUUUGCUUCGGUCUUUCAGGCACUUGCCACAGUUUCAUGAAGAAGUUGGUGAGAUGCAAAGCAUUACGCUGAGAGGGAGAUGGUUUCUCUUCCACGUGUGUUUCUAGAAAACAUCCAAACACAGGGGCUCUGUCGGGACUUCCAAGUCAGAGGGGCCAUUCCUACACAAGUGAUAGCUCUUCAAAGACUUAAGGGAUGGGAGAUGGCCCCCAAACGGCUCCGAUAACGCCCUCUGCCCAUUGCCCUUUCAAAGCCUAAGUAGCAUAUGCUAUCAUCCAUCGGUCCAGAGUGUGCCAGGGCGCCCCUCUUCCACUGGCCUUCCCCCUGGGAACCAAGUAUUCCCAGGUAUGAACAUGUUACUUCAGUUUGCCUGCUGUUCUAAACAAAAGCCAGGCCUACCGGUUGUGUCAUUUUGUGUGUCUCAGAGUUCUGAAAUGUCAGUUCUCCCUGACGGAGGCUGUUGAAAAUUUAGAGCAAUCUUCAGUUCCACGUAACACAUCUUUUCAGUUCCAUGUAACACAUCUUUUCAGUUCCUUUUGUGUUACUCGCUUUUAGAAUGCUUACUUUUCCUCCCCAGAAGUUAGGUGAGAUGGCAUUACUAGCCUGUUUUGUUUUGUAAGGGCCACACCCACCGGCACAGGGACGUUCCCAGGCUAGGGGCUGAAUGGGAGCUGUAGCCGCCGGCGUACACCACAGAAGCAGCAAGGCCGGGUACCGGCCACCCCUGCGAACCACACACACAGCCCGUGGCCACGCCAGAGCCUUAA